GUACACGCUGUGACUAGCAUAUCAAUAAGCGGAGGAAAAGAAACUAACAAGGAUUCCCUUAGUAACGGCGAGUGAAGCGGGAAGAGCUCAAAUUUGAAAUCUUAAAGGGUUUCCCUUUACGAAUUGUAGUUUAAAGAAGUGUUUUCUGUUGAGGUUUUGGUAAAAGUUCUUUGGAAUAGGGCAUCAUAGAGGGUGAGAAUCCCGUAUUUGACCUUUACUUUCAACUUUGUGAUACACUUUCAAAGAGUCGGAUUGUUUGGGAAUGCAGCCCAAAACGGGAGGUAAAUUUCUUCUAAGGCUAAAUAUUGGCGAGAGACCGAUAGCGAACAAGUACCGUGAGGGAAAGAUGAAAAGAACUUUGAAAAGAGAGUUAAACAGUACGUGAAAUUGUCAAAAGGGAAGCGUUUGACACCAGUGUUGUUUUUCUGAAAAUCAAUUAAAGAACUGUUUAUGCUAAGCUGUUUAGACUUUAUCAGCUAAUCUGUUUAGUUUUGAGCUUUUCUUUAAUGCACUUUUCAGUUAACAAGUCAACAUCAAUUUCUUUUAGCCUGUAAAAAAGUUAGAGAAGGUAGCUCAUGAGCUCCGUCUUAAGUGUUAUAGCUCUUUGCCUAUGCAGUAGGAGAGACUGAGGUCUGCAGCGUAGACUCCUUCGGGGUUAAAUAGCAUUUGUGCUAAGUUAUAGCAUUUUAUAGACAACUUGUUGACUAUGAUUAGUCUUGUAGCUUACUCGCUUAUGCUAUUUUACCUACGCUUAGGAUGUUGACGCAUGAGAUAUACGC
rnacentral:rRNA from 1 species